AUCGCCUCUCUGCCUUCUGGCCAAAAUCUAGGGUAGUAUCUGUUUGUUCAUGUCUGAUACGCCCCUUAUCUGGGAGCCAUGUAUUAUAUGAAAAUUUAGAACAGGGAGAUGGGUAAAGAGCUUGCUCUGUCCACUCCGCGCAUUAACCGGGUACUGCAGUACUACUAGGACAUUCUGUGCUCGCUGA